UUUCCGUAGGUGAACCUGCGGAAGGAUCAUUCAUAAUAAAGUGUUUUAUGGCACUUUUUAAAAAUCCAUAUCCACCUUGUGUGCAAUGUUAGAUCUCGUCAAUCUUGGCGAGAUUUUUAUACAUCAACUCAUUCUUUAACUCAUUUGUCUGAAAAAUAUUAUUAAUACUUAAUUCAAAAUACAACUUUCAACAACGGAUCUCUUGGCUCUC
rnacentral:misc_RNA from 1 species